rnacentral:rRNA from 1 species
UACGGGGGGGGCAAGCGUUGUUCGGAAUUACUGGGCGUAAAGGGCUCGUAGGCGGCCAACUAAGUCAGACGUGAAAUCCCCAGGCUCAACCUGGGAACUGCGUCUGAUACUGGAUGGCUUGAAUCCAGGAGAGGGAUGCAGAAUUCCUGGUGUAGCGGUGAAAUGCGCAGAUAUCAGGAGGAACACCGGUGGCGAAGGCGGCAUCCUGGACCGACACUGACGCUGAGGCGCGAAAGCUAGGGUAGCAAACGGG